CUCCUCUUCUGGUUUUUCUUCAUUUUUUAAAUUUCGAAUAUUCGUAUAUACACGCAAAAUUUAAGGUUAUCUCGAUCACUAGAAUUUUACGAUUACGUCGAUCGGAAAAGUUCGAAUUUUAACCGACAGAUAGUGACACUUUCAAAGAAUUUUCCGAGGAAGUAAUGAACAAGUAAAUCAAAAUAUCACUCUGUGUGUCUCUUUGAAAUAGAAUUAAAGAAGAGAAAGAAAAAAAGAAAUAAUAAAAAUUCAUUGGAGAGCGCAUAAAGGCGUCGAAUGUUCGAACGUCUAUAGAAAAACAACAUUCUUACUCCUUUCUUAUGGACUACGUAAGAGGAACAAGUUUGGAAGUCAUUGAUCUUAAUACUGGUGCAACGCUAGGACCCAAAGCUGCAACAGUCGCUCCUAAAGAAAUAUAUGAAGAUUUCAAUGCACGUGCGAUUCAUAGUGAUACAUAGCGAAGAUUUAUUAAGAUCAAUAAAAUUUUUCACUCAAUAAUUUCUUAUUAAACCAAUACAAAUUCAUCAAACACGUGUUCCGAACUAUGUUUAAUAGUAAUUCUAGUUACUUGUCGUUUGAAAGUUAGAAAGUAUGACACGUAGUGACAUCUGUCAACGAUUUUACCAAUCAAUUAGAGUUUUUCGUUAUAUAAAAUCAAUCAGUUCAAUAGUUUCAACUAAAUAAUUUCAACAUAAAAAAAUUCAAAAUCAAUUCAAAAUUUUAAACUAAUUUAAUGAUUGAUUUAUCAAAUAUUUUGAUAAAUAGAUUUAAAGCAAAUAAUCAAUUUAUAUUUUUUUGGCGGGCUUUUUCAAAUCCUUCAAAAUAUUCCAUCGAAAUAAUAUUCCAUAUUUUACAGCAAUAGAAUUUUUAUAAUUCAUAUUACACGUAACAUAAUAUUUAAGAAUGUUCACAAAUAUUAAGUUGAUUAAUAAAU